AUUGAACGCUGGCGGCAUGCUUUACACAUGCAAGUCGAACGGCAGCGCGGGCUUCGUGCUGGCGGCGAGUGGCGAACGGGUGAGUAAUGCAUCGGAACGUGCCCUGUAGUGGGGGAUAGGCCGGCGAAAGCCGGAUUAAUACCGUAUACGACAUGAGGGUGAAAGCGGGGGACCGAAAGGCCUCGCGCUAUUUUAGCUGCCGAUGUCGGAUUAGCUAGUUGGUGGGGUAAAGGCUUACCAAGGCGACGAUCCGUAGCUGGUCUGAGAGGACGACCAGCCACACUGGGACUGAGACACGGCCCAGACUCCUACGGGAGGCAGCAGUGGGGAAUUUUGCGCAAUGGGGGCAAGCCUGAUCCAGCCAUGCCGCGUGAGGGAAGAAGGCCUUCGGGUUGUAAACCGCUUUUGUUCGGGAAGAAGUCCUCUGGGCUAAUACCCCGGGGGGAUGACGGUACCGAAAGAGAAAGCACCGGCUAACUACGUG
rnacentral:rRNA from 1 species